rnacentral:rRNA from 1 species
UCAUGUUGAAACACCACUUCCCAUAUGAUCACCAAAGUUAAGUAACAUCAAGCCUGGUCAGUACCUAGAUGGGUGACCACUUGAGAAUACCAGGUGCUGUAAG